AUUGAACGCUGGCGGCAGGCCUAACACAUGCAAGUCGAGCGGCAGCGGGAAAGUAGCUUGCUACUUUUGCCGGCGAGCGGCGGACGGGUGAGUAAUGCCUGGGGAUCUGCCCAGUCGAGGGGGAUAACAGUUGGAAACGACUGCUAAUACCGCAUACGCCCUACGGGGAAAGCAGGGGACCUUCGGGCCUUGCGCGAUUGGAUGAACCCAGGUGGGAUUAGCUAGUUGGUGAGGUAAUGGCUCACCAAGGCGACGAUCCCUAGCUGGUCUGAGAGGAUGAUCAGCCACACUGGAACUGAGACACGGUCCAGACUCCUACGGGAGGCAGCAGUGGGGAAUAUUGCACAAUGGGGGGAAACCCUGAUGCAGCCAUGCCGCGUGUGUGAAGAAGGCCUUCGGGUUGUUAAAGGCACUUUCAGCGAGGAGGAAGGUUAGGUA
rnacentral:rRNA from 1 species